ensembl:lncRNA
GAUGGGUUGGGUUAAGUAUCAGGUAAGAAAUCUCAGUUUUUGAUCGUUUCAAGGUUAUAUCCCAGGAUGCUCCUUAGACAUAACCCAACAUCUAAAAAACUGAAACAUCUAAAUAGAUGAUGGUUUGCUCUGGGGCAUUUGUGAUUUCUGAAUUCACCUGACACCUUCUCAUCUGAGCACGCUUUCACUCUCAAGUGUUUCAGCUCCAAGGUGGCUGGGCAUUAAUCACUGCUACUUCGUUAGUACCAUGUAGUUCCUGUGUUUCCUCUAAAACAAGCUUCUGCUCUUCAACUUAGGUAUGUAUUCAUGUUUACAUACUAAUCCAUCAGUCUAGACAAGUGAUUGCAAAAAUAAACCCCAUAUCAAUUUACGCACAAAGCUAACUCAAUAAUCCUUGUGCCAACCUUGGUGCCUUAACCACUUGUAUUGCUGAAAAAUGCUUUGAACUUGCAAUGAGAUCAAUAUUUUUUAAAGGUCAAUUUCUUUGUUAGCAAAAUGGUGAAAACUGUUCAUUUAUUUUCAUCCCCUUCUUACAGUAAGAGGUACACAGCAAAUCCACAACAUGAAAACAAAGUGUACUAUACUCUCUCAAGGAGAAAAAUUUCUGAAGAAGCAUUGAGAACUAUUCCAGUGCUGCAGAACCAGCAACAGCAUGAUGUGUAAGCAGAAGAAAAGUAAAGAAAAAGAGUUGAUAGCUGUUGGAGCUUUGCUGAUUGCCUGGAUAAGCCCAGCACAUUGUAGUGCUGCCUCAGUGUAAAUCCAUGCAAAGAAGCAAGGCAGGAGAGUGAAGGGGGAUGGAGAGCUGCUGCUGGAGUCUUUGCUGUGGCAUUAUUUGAUGAUAAGAGCAGUAAGAAAACUCUUUACUCCCCUAGGGCAGCAUUUGUUAGCUGCAAUUCCAUUUGUCAGACUGAGCUUUGGCCUUCUUUUCACUAAAGAAAAUCAUCAUUUCCGAAAGGAAAAUGCCAUAAG